rnacentral:rRNA from 1 species
AUUGAACGCUGGCGGCAGGCCUAACACAUGCAAGUCGAACGAGUGGCGGACGGGUGAGUAAUGUCUGGGAAACUGCCUGAUGGAGGGGGAUAACUACUGGAAACGGUAGCUAAUACCGCAUACCAUCAGAUGUGCCCAGAUGGGAUUAGCUAGUUGGUGGGGUAACGGCUCACCAAGGCGACGAUCCCUAGCUGGUCUGAGAGGAUGACCAGCCACACUGUAACUGAGACACGGUCCAGACUCCUACGGGAGGCAGCAGUGUGGAUUUUUGCGCAAGGGGGUUAAGCCUGAGCCAGCCAUCCCGCGUGUCUGAAGAAGGCGUUCGGGUUGUAAACUCCUGGCUGCUGGUAGUCGUUACCCACAGAAGAAGCCCCGGCUAACUCCGUGCCAGCAGCCGCGGUAAUUC